UACGUAGGGUGCGAGCGUUGUCCGGAUUUAUUGGGCGUAAAGAGCGUGUAGGCGGUUCGGUAGGUCCGUUGUGAAAGCUCGAGGCUCAACCUCGAGACGCCGAUGGAAACCAUCGAACUAGAGUCCGGAAGAGGAGAGUGGAAUCCCCGGUGUAGCGGUGAAAUGCGCAGAUAUCGGGGGGAACACCCGUGGCUAAGGCGGCUCUCUAGUACGGUACUGACGCUGAGACGCGAAAGCGUGGGGAGCGAACAGG
rnacentral:rRNA from 1 species